CCUACGGGAGGCAGCAGUGAGGAAUAUUGGGCAAUGGGCGCGAGCCUGAACCAGCCAAGUCGCGUGAGGGAGGACGGCCCUACGGGUUGUAAACUUCUUUUGCCGGGGAGCAACGGGCGCCACGUGUGGCGUCACUGAGAGUACCCGGAGAAAAAGCAUCGGCAAACUCCGUGCCAGCAGCCGAGGUAAUACGGAGGAUGCGAGCGUGAUCCGGAUUUAUUGGGUUAAAGGGGUGCGUAGGCGGAUCGUUAAGUCAGUGGUCAAAUCGAGGGGCUCAACCCCUUCCCGCCAUUGAAACUGGCGUUCUUGAGUGGAAGAGAGGUAUGCGGAAUGCGUGGUGUAGCGGUGAAAUGCAUAGAUAUCACGCAGAACCCCGAUUGCGAAGGCAGCAUGCCGGCUUCCGACUGACGCUGAGGCACGAAAGCGUGGGGAGCGAACAGGAUUAGAUACCCGUGUAGUC
rnacentral:rRNA from 1 species